UAUUGGAUAUUGAAAAUGAAACUU
rnacentral:miRNA from 1 species